GAUGAAGAACGUAGCGAAAUGCGAUACUUGGUGUGAAUUGCAGAAUCCCGUGAACCAUCGAGUCUUUGAACGCAAGUUGCGCCCGAAGCCAUCAGGUUGAGGGCACGUCUGCCUGGGCGUCACAUAUCGUUGCCCAAUGCCUAUUGCAGUGCAAUAGGAAUUUCUAGGGCGAAUGAUGGCUUCCCGUGAGCGUUGUUGCCUCGCGGUUGGUUGAAAAUCGAGUCCUUGGUAGGGUGUGCCAUGGUAGAUGGUGGUCGAGUUAGAACGAUACCGAUCAUGUGCAUGCUCCCCAAAAUAUGGCCUCUAUGACCCACACGCGUCUUUUGACGCUCAUGACGAGACCUCAGGUCAGGCGGGGAUACCCGCUGAAUUUAAGCAUAUCAAUAAGCGGAGGA
rnacentral:misc_RNA from 1 species